GGCUGAAGAGGGGGCCUCCGUGUGGAAUGUUGCAUUCCAGUAACCACUGCUGGCUUUGUUGGACUGUUAACAAGGAAUGUGUUUAUUGUAAUACUUCACACCGUACUGAAUCCACACGCAUGCAUUAGCGUUCCUGCUGCAGCUCGAAGUGAUUGCACAAUCUGGCCAUGCAUCUGGGUCGCAGACCAUAGACUCUCAGAGAGAGAGGGGGGCCUAGCAAGUGCCAUGUGAGAGAACAAAGGUUUAUGAAGCACCUUCCUUGGGCCUGGGCCUGGCACUGUGCUGAGCGGUAAGGCACAGAACACUGACUAAAAUCCAGCCUUCAAGGAUCUGAACCUUCAGACAAAGGACCAGAAAAUUACACUACUUCUGUGUGUGGGCUUUGAGGUUGAGGAGUUUGGAUAGAAAGGGGAUCUACAGUCCAGAGGCCAGAAGCACUGUGAAGUCACUGAGUAUCUGGGAAUUUAGAAGGCCAAAGGAAAGCUCGAUGUGGGGAACAUGGAGAUCCGGAGAAGGGAGAACACAGCCUGUGGAGAUACAAAUCCGUUUUUCCCCUGGUUUUUAUUUUUCUUUCACAACGUACGUAAGACUUUCAUGAAAGGAAUAUUGUUCAUUCCCAGGUAAAGAAUGGAGACUAGGGACAUUGGGCUGAAACUGAGAGACUGAGCUAACAGAAAGCACAAGGCUCAGUUUUGCAGCAUUCUGUUUGUCCUCAUGGUUUUGAUAAGCAGAUGAAUUUAAUGGAGGUAGCUACUCUCCAGCCAUUCCCCCUUGCUCACCACAGCAGGUGGUUCUGGACCACAUCAGGCGCAGGUAAAAAUAAAGCCCCACCAAAUGUUACCUCAUGCCCACAUUUAAAAUCACAGAUCAAGGAUCUGUGAAUCUUGCAUCCUGGUUUCAGGUUCUAGCAUUAUAUUUAACCUCAAACUAUCCAGUACUUAAGAUCCAUUAACACAAUCAAUAGAGAAUAGGGUGUAUUUGAAGAUAGGGUUGCAGCUGUUAAGUUCAAAAAUGUGUCUGAGGAAUGCAAUCUUGCUCUGCUUGUCUUAUCUGCUUUUUGUUCAGGCAUUUACAAAUUCUGUUCAGAUUCUUGAAGUGAAAGUGAGUAAGUAUAUUUUUAAGUUUUUCUGUGGAAAAAAAGGAUAAUAAGUGAAAACAUUCUGGAAGAUUCAUUUAUUUAGAAUACUUUCCCAGUAGCUCAGUGUGUGUGUGAGACAUUUUUAUGGAGUUAUUUCGCAGAAUUUUAAAACUCUAGGGUAUGAAAACAUCUGAUUGUUUGCUUUGAAAAAUCUGAGUCCUCAAUUCUUGAAGUCUUAAAAUGAAUGCAUAAUUACCUUAUAAGCCAUCGUGCACAUUAGUUUGCAAAGGAGAAAAGCCAGGGAACCAACUUUGCUUAAAUGGAAUUAACUUUCACAAUUAAAUCCUCUUUGGGGUGUGUGCUUCCUGAAUCCCAAAGAUGGCUGUGUUCCCAAGGCGAUGUGGAAAGACAGAGAGGGUGUUGCAAUACAUCCCCAUGAGAAUGCAAAUUUAAGUCUGAAUAUAAAAUUAAAGACAUCUGUAGGAAUAAUGAAAAUGUGUGACUUAACAUCUAGUGUCCCAAACCAAGUGAAACACCCAGGGCUUGGCAAAUUGAUCUAUCUAUCCAUUUAUCUACCUAUCUAUCUCAUCAGUUAAGUGAUAAUGUGAAGGGGGAAGCCUGAGAUAGUCCAGAUUAACCACCAAGAGAAACUGAUUAAGUAUGUCCCACUUUAUCCCUUAUUUAGGAAUAGAUUUUUCACAUAAAGAUAUCCAGUUGGUUGACUGUUUCAAGCAAUGUGUGUAGGUUUAGUUUUUCUUGAUCACGGUGUGAUAGGUAGAACCUAUAACAAAUUUGAAUCAUUUGAAUGUUAUCAAUAGGAAAAACACUAAACAGAAUAACUAAAUGGGGAAGCAGUUUAGUUUACUGUGAAAACACACGCCACUGAGGUCUCUGGAACUUUGAGCAGAGAUUUUACUGAUAAUUUUAUUUCUGCUGCUAAUGUUCAUGAACAAAUCACAGUAACUCCCUGCAUUGUUUGCUCUUCUUGAAAAUAAGGGGGAGAGGGUUGGACCUGAUUGUCUUAAGCUCUGUGAUUCUCCCUGUCCAAAGAUAGAUGGAAUUUUCGGUAUAUCAGAGAGGUAGCUUUCUUUAAACUUAAUGACGGUAGUGUGGUAUCUCAGCUAUUUUCAUUAAUUAAUUAUGUGAUACUUAAGAUAAAUAAAAGAUACAAGGAAUUAAAUGAUAGUCACAUCAUUAUAUAAAUUACUGGGUAAAAAUGGUGGCUUCAAAAUACACAUAUCAUUUCAAUCCCUUGUGAACUCCCACUUAGGCUACACGUAGAUGAAAUUUUAUUUGGGGGCAUAAACUUACAAUGACAAGGAGAAUAUGACUGUCUCCACAAACUGAACAGUGAGAACCCACCUAUGAAUCACACGUAAUAGACACUUCCUAGCUGGUCUCUUCUUUUUAUGACCAGGCUUAGUUUGUAUUUUGUUUCACAGCCAAGGGGAAUCCAUAGCAACAGCAUUUGAGAAGCUUAAAAAUAGAUGCAUGAGUGGGAAUUGACAGUAAACCUGAGAAAGCCAAAUCUUAAACUGAUAUUGGGAAAAGAUGAGAACCAAUUAGGUUUAUAUCACACAGUCCUGAAAAACCUCAAC